GAACGCUGGCGGCGUGCCUAAUACAUGCAAGUCGAGCGAAUUUCAAGGGGCUUGCCCCUUGAGGUUAGCGGCGGACGGGUGAGUAACACGUGGGCAACCUGCCUGUAAGACUGGGAUAACACCGGGAAACCGGUGCUAAUACCGGAUAAUUCUUUCCCUCACAUGAGGGAAAGCUGAAAGUCGGUUUCGGCUGACACUUACAGAUGGGCCCGCGGCGCAUUAGCUAGUUGGUGAGGUAACGGCUCACCAAGGCAACGAUGCGUAGCCGACCUGAAAGGGUGAUCGACCACAUUGG
rnacentral:rRNA from 1 species